UUUAUAAUUCUAUAUUAGUAGCUUAUUUUCCUUUUGGCCGCCGUUUGUUAUGUCAAGUCAUAUACAUAUUUACAUACACUCCACCCCACACCGAGCAGCACGCAUUUUACAGUUACAAUUUUCGAGAGACUCGCAUAGCCAUUUCGCCUUCGAAUUGCUGCUGCUUAUUUUUUGGUUGGCAUGGGUUUGGAGGAGACAAUUGACAUCAAGAAAGACAAAGCUAACCAAACAUUGACCAUUUGUUUACAUGCCUUUUCUGACUUAACUUAUGUUUCUCCUGUGGUAUUCUUAUACCUCCUCAAAGAAUGCUAUAUUCAUGGCUCAUGUAAGGCAACAAAGAAGUUCAGAGCUCUUCAGCAACAAGUUCAUCAGGUAUUAGAUAAUUCUCCCAAACCUGGACCUGCCACUUUCGUUAUUCAUUGCCUGCAUGUCCUGCCGAUUUUUGGAUUGUAUUCCGAAGGGUUCAGUCACUUGAUUGUAUCUGCUCUUCGUCGUUUUCUAAAACUAUCACCCACCUCAGAAGACACCUUGCAAGCAAAAGGUCUAGCAGCUCAAUUAUUUUUAGAUAUUGUGGGAGGCUUAGUUGAUCAUGAUGAAAGGUUGCUUAUCAAGAUAGUUGAAGCUUUUGAUGUCAAGUUGACAAACAUUGAGGCAGCAAUUCAACGGUUAAAGGCCCGGAAUGAUAAUAGGUUUGACACUGCAAAAAAAUUCGUUGAACAAUAUAUUUUUAAGUUGGUAGAAUCUCAGUCCUAUAUGACGGCAGUCACUCUAUUAGAGCACUUCUCUAUACGCCAGUCUGGGCAGUCUUUCCUUCUCAAAAUGAUGGACAAUAAACAAUCUCAAGCAGCUGAAAAAUGGGCAACGUUUAUGGGAAAGCCAAUGUUAUGUUUACUUGUUCAGGAAUAUGUUGAUAGGAACAUGCUAAAGCAUGCUUAUGAGACAAUAAAGAAAAACAAUUUGAAGGAAGAAUUUCCUGAUAUAUACCAUAAAUGCAAAGAAAGUGAGCAUAAGAAAAACAUCUCACUGACUUGCAGCUUGUUGAAGAAGUUAGCAAAGAAGGCACUAUGGGAUCUUGCUGAGGCAAAGACACAUGGUGAUAGGCAACUUGUUGAAUAUUUGGUUUACUUGGCGAUGGAGGCUGGUUACUCAGAGAAGGUUGAUGAACUUUGUGAUCGUUACUCCCUUGAAGGUUUUCUGAAAGGCAAAGAACUUGAAAGUCUUCCACAUGGUAGAUUCCUGCAACUUAAUGAGUUUGCUGUUGAAGAUAUUGUCUGGGUUGAUGAAGUUGAUGGUUUAUGUGGUGCAACGGGUCACAUUGAGGGAUGUAAAGUUGUGGGUCUUGAUUGUGAAUGGAAACCCAAUUUUGAGAAAGGCAGCAAACCGAACAAGGUUUCUAUCAUGCAAAUUGCUUCUGAUAAGAUGGUUUUCAUCUUUGACUUGAUAAAGUUAUUUGAAGAUGUACCGGAUACUUUAGACAACUGCCUAACUCGGAUUUUGCAGUCUCCCAGAAUUCUAAAACUUGGUUAUAACUUUCAAUGUGAUACAAAACAGUUAGCUCAGUCUUAUGGAGAGUUAAAGUGCUUCAAGCACUAUGAAAUGUUACUGGACAUUCAGAACGUCUGCAGAGAACCCCGAGGUGGUCUGUCAGGUCUUGCAAAGAAAUUAUUAGGAGCAGGUUUGAACAAAACUCGACGGAAUAGCAAUUGGGAACAGCGGCCUUUGAGUCAGCACCAGCUGGAGUAUGCUGCUCUUGAUGCUGUUGUACUUAUUCAAAUAUUCCACCAUAUCCGUAAUCAUUCUGAACCUGCUGAUAUCUCGGGGGGGCAUGAGAAGAUCAAGUGGAAAUCUUAUAUUGUUUCUCAUAUGGAUAAUCCCCAAAAAGGAAAGAAGGGACUCAAACUUAACUUAAAGAGGCAUCAGGAGUAAAGAUCCAGCAAGUUUAGCGACUGACAUAUUUUUCUUGCUCAUUCAAUAGAUGGCUGAAGUUAAUAUGUGAGGGCUUGGUUAAAUUUGUGGACAAGGGAUCUAGAAUUGUUAUUAAAGAAGACAACGGUGAACUCAGGCUGUCAACAAUGCUAUCUGUCAAAGAAGAAAGUUACCACCGCUGCUUGUCCAACAAAUCAAAAAUUUUUAAUCUCAAAAACCUUUCUUAAUUUAAUAUUCCUAUCAUCUAGCAAAACACAAAACCUUCCCUUCUCCACCUCUCUUUUCUCCGUGAUAAAAGGCUUCAGACAUAAAAACCAAAGCCAGACUCAAAAUCUCCAACCUCUCUCUCUCUCUCUCUGAAU